AGGACGAACGCUGGCGGCGUGCUUAACACAUGCAAGUCGAACGGAAAGGCCCGCUUGCGGGUACUCGAGUGGCGAACGGGUGAGUAACACGUGGGCAACCUGCCCUCAGCUUCGGGAUAACACUUGGAAACAGGUGCUAAUACCGGAUAAUAACUUGUCAUCGCAUGGUGGUGGGUUCAAAGUUUUUCGGCUGAGGAUGGGCCCGCGGCCUAUCAAGCUUGUUGGUGGGGUAAUGGCCUACCAAGGCGACGACGGGUAGCCGGCCUGAGAGGGCGACCGGCCACACUGGGACUGAGACACGGCCCAGACUCCUACGGGAGGCAGCAGUGGGGAAUAUUGCGCAAUGGGCGGAAGCCUGACGCAGCGACGCCGCGUGAGGGAUGACGGCCUUCGGGUUGUAAACCUCUUUCAGCUCUGACGAAGCGCAAGUGACGGUAGGAGCAGAAGAAGCACCGGCCAACUACGUGCCAGCAGCCGCGGUAA
rnacentral:rRNA from 1 species